rnacentral:rRNA from 1 species
GACGGAAGGUGCAAGCGUUGCUCGGAAUUACUGGGCGUAAAGCGCGCGUAGGCGGACCUGCAAGUCGGGGGUGAAAGCCCGAGGCUCAACCUCGGAACUGCCUUCGAUACUGCGGGUCUCGAGUCCGGGAGAGGUGAGUGGAAUUCCUAGUGUAGAGGUGAAAUGCGUAGAUAUUAGGAAGAACACCAGUGGCGAAGGCGGCUCACUGGCCCGGUACUGACGCUGAGGCGCGAAAGCGUGGGGAGCAAACAGG